rnacentral:lncRNA from 1 species
AACUGAAUCAUGGGGGCGGGUUUUUCGUAUGCUCUUCUCGUGAUAGUAAGUCUCACGAGUUCGUUAUAAAAGGCAGUUCCCCUGCACAUGCUCUCUUGCCUGCUGUCAUGCAACGUGUCUUUGCUCCUCCUUCACCUUCCGCCAUGAUUGUGAGGCUUCCCCAGCCAUGUGGAAACAUAUUCGCAGAGCACCCACUAGGUGCCAGUAAAUGUAUGAGAAGUCCUGUGGAAUAAGACUGAAGUUGUCCUUGCCUUCAAGCAACUUGCAAUUGCCUAAGAACACAGUUUAAAACCACAAAACUAAGCCUUGGAAAUCACAUGCUGUCAUUUCUGCGAUCGGUCAUAACCAGUCCUGAUUCCAUGUUAGAGGAGACUACAUAAGGACACAGGUACCAGAAGAUGAAAAAUUUGGAGUCUAGUGAAAAGAAGUGACUUGCUCAAAAUCACACAGCACAUGAAGAACAGAGCCUCUAUGAUGAAUUUCUUGACAGCUGAUAUAAGUCUUUUGAGGUACAGCCUGGCACAAAAAGGAUGAGAUUUGUGGGCAGAAUUUUGGAAGAAUAUCUCCCGAGAGAACAUUCAGGACAGAGCCCUACAUCUCCCCGAGAAGAGGUGAAAGAGACUGCUCCUAUCUGCUUCUGCAUCAAACUUCAGGCUCAAGACCUGUCCAGAAAAAAAAAUGUCUUCUUUCAGGGAUGAACUGCUGUCCUCAUCAGACGCCUUAUUUUGUUUAGAAUUCAAGCUCACUUGACAGGUUAUUGUGAAGAUUAAAUGAAUUAAUACAUGUGAAGCAACUGUAACAACUCUUGACAUGCGGUAAGCACUGUAAAUUGUGAACCAUUUAGGAAUGCCCCAUUGGAGAUAAUUUAGGUCACUCAGAAAUUGUAAAUUUUGAAAGGUGAAAGACCGUGUUGUUCAAGUUAGGGCUGAACUGGAACUGUAAAUCUGAUGGUUGAAUAAUAAACAGAGUAAUUA